rnacentral:rRNA from 1 species
AUGGCCGGCGCCGCCGCGCUCCGGCGGGCCGCCCGCAGCGCCGUCCGCAAGCUGGCCAACGCCCCCGCCCCCUCCCGGGCGAUCGUGCUGCCCGAGCGUCUCCUGUCCUCCCAGGCGUCCCCGGAGCACCGCCCCCGCCCCGGCGUGUCGGCGUCGGAGCUGGGGCAGUACCCGCCGGAGCGGAUCCGGAACUUCUCCAUCAUCGCGCACGUCGACCACGGCAAGUCCACGCUCGCCGACCGGCUGCUGGAGCUCACCGGCACCAUCCAGAAGGGCCAUGGGGCUCAGUACCUCGACAAGCUGCAGGUAGAGAAAGAAAGGGGCAUCACCGUCAAAGCCCAAACCGCGACUAUGUUCUACAAGCAUACAGUGGAAAAUCCCGAGUCCCAUGGGACAGAUACUUCAAGCUAUUUGCUUAACCUGAUUGAUACUCCAGGCCAUGUGGAUUUCAGCUAUGAGGUUUCCAGGUCCCUAGCAGCUUGCCAGGGUGCACUUCUAGUAGUUGAUGCAGCCCAAGGUGUACAGGCACAAACAAUUGCAAAUUUUUACCUUGCAUUUGAGUCAAACCUUAGCAUUAUUCCUGUCAUUAACAAGAUUGAUCAGCCUACUGCUGACCCAGACAAUGUAAAGGCCCAGUUGAAGAGGUUAUUUGACAUUGAUCCAAGUGAAGCUCUGCUCACUUCCGCCAAAACUGGUCAAGGCCUUAGCCAGGUGUUACCUGCUGUUAUCGAGCGUAUACCUUGCCCACCUGGGAAUUGUGAUUCUCCUGUACGAAUGCUGCUCUUAGAUUCGUACUACGAUGAAUACAAAGGGGUGAUAUGUCAUGUUGCUAUUGUUGAUGGUGCGAUGCGCAAGGGAGAUAAGAUUUCAUCAGCUGCGACUGGUCGCACAUAUGAAGUCUUUGAUGUUGGCAUUAUGCAUCCUGAGCUUACCCCUACUGGAGUGCUUUACACUGGACAAGUUGGAUAUGUUAUAACUGGAAUGCGUUCAACUAAAGAAGCACGGAUUGGUGAUACUCUUCAUCAGGCUAAGACUAUCGUUGAACCACUUCCUGGUUUCAAGCCUGUGAGACACAUGGUCUUCUCUGGUGUAUACCCAGCUGAUGGUUCUGACUUUGAGGCUCUUAGCCAUGCAAUUGAGAAGCUAACAUGUAAUGAUGCCAGCGUGUCUGUUACAAAAGAGACAAGCACUGCACUUGGCAUGGGCUUCAGAUGCGGUUUCCUAGGAUUGCUGCACAUGGAUGUGUUUCAUCAACGGCUUGAGCAAGAAUAUGGGGCUCAAGUCAUAUCCACCAUACCAACUGUACCAUAUAUCUUUGAAUAUGGUGAUGAAAGCAAAGUGCAAAUUGAGAACCCUGCGGCCUUGAAUUUCAAUGCUGGAAAACGUAUAACGGCCUGCUGGGAGCCAACAGUCAUUGCAACAAUUAUUAUUCCUAGUGAGUAUGUUGGUCCUGUAAUUAUGCUUUGUUCGGAAAGGAGGGGAGAACAGCAAGAAUAUACAUUCAUUGAUGCCAAUAGAGCUUUAUUGAAGUACCGAUUACCUUUGAGGGAGAUCAUUGUGGACUUCUACAAUGAGUUGAAAAGCAUAACAUCUGGUUAUGCUACUUUUGACUAUGAAGAUUCUGAGUAUCAAAAAUCUGAUCUUGUUAAGAUGGAUAUUCUACUUAACGGCCAGCCUGUUGAUGCUAUGGCUACUAUAAUCCAUAACCAAAAAGCUCAGAAGGUUGGAAGAGAAUUAGUGGACAAGCUCAAGAAAUUUAUAGAAAGGCAAAUGUUCGAGAUCACUAUACAAGCAGCAAUUGGUUCAAAGGUUAUUGCAAGGGAAACUCUGUCAGCAAUGAGAAAGAACGUUCUGGCCAAGUGCUAUGGUGGUGAUAUCACCCGCAAAAAGAAGUUGCUAGAGAAGCAGAAGGAAGGGAAGAAGCGCAUGAAACGUGUCGGGUCCGUCGAUAUCCCCCAAGAAGCGUUCCAUGAGCUACUAAAGGUCUCCAGUUCAAAGUAG